GGUAUCUUGUCCGAGUGGUUUAAGGAACCUGUUUUGAAAACAGGCAAGUGCAAAAGCUUCCUAGGUUCGAAUCCUAGAGAUACCGCCA
rnacentral:tRNA from 1 species